AGCGGCGCUGUCUACUUCCUCUGACGGCGGUCUGCCCCUUUGCUCUCAGUGGUCAUUCAUUACCAGUCUGAUAUGGUUCGGUUAAUUAACACCAGCGCUGGGAGCUUACACACAGAAAAAAAAAACUAUCAAUUGGCAGCAUUGAGUUAACAUUGUAGCUAUAACUUCAAUCGAUGAUUUCACUGAUCAGUAUCUAAAAAGUUGCCAACUUUUAUUUUUAGAUGCUAAAAGUUCACCGAAUAAAAUUUUAAGAGAUUCGGAAGCUCUUUCCAGUGCAACUAAACUCUUCCUGUUAAAGAUACUUCGACCAUGGCUUGAACAGUUGUAUAAACGCAGCAAGGAGUUGAUAGUGACACAUCUUCAUUUAAUUCAGUUUCUUGUCUCGCUGCCAGCUUCAAAGUCACAUGAUUGUCACAUGACCUGUUGCAAAAACUCAUUUAGGCAUUGAUUUUUUCUCCUUCACUUAGUUGUUACAUAUUCGUAGUUUGAAAAUCUGUGUGUAUGUGUUAGAAAGAUUCAACAACGAUGUCACUGGAAUUAAAAGUAUAGUGAUAA